rnacentral:tRNA from 1 species
ACCUGGGUGGCUCAUUGGUUGAGCACCUGCCUUUGGCUCAGGCUGUGAUCCUGAGGACCUGGGAUCGAAUCCUGGAUCAGGUU